AUGGCCGCAAGCCCGCAAAGGGAGGUGGGGGAAGGAAGACGGCGCGGGAUCACGGGCUGCUGCUCCCGGUCCCCGGCCGCUCCCGGCUCCCGAGGGCGCGCUCCACCGCCACCUCCCCCUUCUUCUUCCUCCCUCCCAUUCCAAGAUCCAACGCUAACUGCUCCUCCUCCUGCUCGUACUCUGCUCCUCCAGACGGCGCGCCCCGCCAUGCUCGCACCGGCCCUCUCCCUCCCCGCCCCCUCCGCCGCCGCCGCCACGCCGACGCUGCUCCCGGUCUCCUCCUCCUCCUGCGCGCCAGGCAUCGCCGUCCCGCCUCUCGCCGCGCGCCCGAUCUCGCGCCGCGCCGGGUGCGCCCCCGCGCUCCGGACCGCCGCCGCCUCCUCGCCCUUCGCGGUGCCGCGCGCCGUGCCCGAGGGCGGCCCCGCGUCGCCGCUGCUCGCCGUGCCGGUGCCCGACGACGAGGACGCCGACGCCGCCAUGGACGGCGGCGACGGGGGCGAGCAGACCGGCCUCGCGACGCGCCCGGCGGCGGCCGUCGUGGCCCCGCCGCGGCCGCCGCCCGAGCGGGACUUCGCCGGCACGCCCUACGUGCCCGUCUACGUCAUGCUCCCGCUCGGGGUGGUGACCGUGAAGGGCGAGGUGGCGGAGGCGGACGAGCUGGUGGCGCAGCUGCGGGUGCUCAAGGCGGCGGGCGUCGACGGCGUCAUGGUCGACUGCUGGUGGGGCAACGUCGAGGCGCACCGGCCGCAGGAGUACAACUGGGCCGGCUACAAGCGCCUCUUCCACAUCAUCAGGGACCUCAAGCUCAAGCUGCAGGUGGUCAUGUCGUUCCAUGAAUGCGGAGGCAAUGUCGGAGAUGACGUGUCCAUUCCUCUCCCGGAAUGGGUGAUAGAGAUCGGAAAGAGCAACCCGGACAUCUACUUCACCGACAGGGAGGGAAGGCGUAAUACGGAGUGCCUCUCGUGGGGCAUCGAUAAAGAAAGGGUUCUACAAGGCCGAACUGCGGUCGAGGUGUACUUUGACUUCAUGAGAAGCUUCCGAGUAGAAUUUGACGAGUAUUUUGAGGAUGGGAUCAUUUCAGAAAUUGAGGUUGGACUAGGUGCUUGUGGAGAGUUACGGUAUCCAUCUUAUGCAGCAAACCAUGGCUGGAAAUACCCUGGCAUUGGAGAGUUUCAGUGCUAUGACAGGUACUUGCAGAAAAAUCUGAGGAGGGCCGCAGAAGCACGGGGACACGCCAUGUGGGCAAAGUCACCAGACAACGCUGGCCACUAUAAUUCUGAACCAAACAACACUGGAUUCUUCUGUGACGGAGGAGAUUAUGAUAGCUAUUAUGGCCGGUUCUUCCUCAACUGGUACGCCCAGGUGCUGCUGGAUCAUGCGGACCGCGUGCUGAUGCUAGCCAGGUUGGCCUUUGAAGGCUCAGCUAUUGCUGUCAAGGUGUCAGGCAUACACUGGUGGUACAAAACUGCCAGCCAUGCUGCUGAGCUGACUGCUGGGUUCUACAACCCAUGUAACCGCGACGGCUACGCUCCAAUUGCUCAAGUAUUGAAAAAGCAUGGUGCGGCUUUGAACUUCACCUGCGUUGAACUGCGCACCAUGGAUCAGCAUGAGGUGUACCCCGAGGCCUUGGCUGAUCCAGAGGGCUUGGUAUGGCAGGUGCUGAAUGCUGCAUGGGAUGCCGGGAUACAAGUGGCCAGCGAGAACGCUCUGCCUUGCUAUGACAGGGACGGCUUCAACAAGACACUGGAGAACGCCAAGCCGCGGAACGACCCCGAUGGGCGGCACCUGUUCGGGUUCACCUACCUGAGGCUCUGCAGCACCCUCUUCGAGGGACCCAACCUCCCGGAGUUUGAGCGUUUCGUCAAGAGGAUGCACGGCGAAGCGGUUCAUGACCUGAGGGCGUAG
rnacentral:rRNA from 1 species